UUUAAUAUGUUACUUUGAGCUGUAAACUAACACCAUCUCCACACUGAUGUUGUAAUUUUUAGUUGUUUAAAGGUAAGUUUUAGUUGCUUAAAGACAAGGUGAGUAUAAGUUGUAGUAUUAGAUUUACUUGGUUUUUAGUUAAUUGCUCUGUUUUAGGAGCAAUGUAUUGGACAGAACAGACUUCAGAAUCAGAUCUGGUUUGACCUUUGGCUCUGCAGUGCUCUCACUAGAUCUGUGACUUAGUUACCUGUUUAAUUUGGUCGUUGUGAUGAUUUGGUGAAAUAACCUGAAAAAUGCUUGUUUUGGCAUCUGGCACAUAUCAUGGACUCAGUAAAUGGAUGCUAUCCGUGCUGUGAUUGGACAGCAGUAAAGCUAGGCUGGCUUUUUAGAAGGGUGUUAGGGUUUUUUUUCCCUCUAAAACACCGAAGGUAUGAUUCAGUCACCAAAAUUGUGGCUUGGCUAUGCUGGCCUUACUGUAGUGCUGCAGAGGCACUAGCAGGUGGUAGAACCAGAUCAGUCUAGAGUUGUGAAUUUGAAUCCUGGCUCUACCCUCCCCUAAGUUGGUGACCUCAGGCAGUCUUCUCUGGUUAGUAAAGACCUGUUCAAAGCUAAGACCAUUUCCUACAAAAUAAGUAUAAUAUAGAUGAUACAACCAAGAUUCAGUUCUCUUCAUCAGAGCUCAGUUAGGGUAUGACAUGUAGACAGGUAACAUGUAAAGUGCUAUGGAGGCACAAAGAAGGUCACCCAAACUGUUUCUAGGGCAUGGGAAUGGCCUCCCAGUCAGCUGAAGAGUGAGGAAAAGCUAGCCAGGUGUCGGGGUGGCAGAAAGGCCAGAGUGGCAAGAUCUCCCAGUGCUGUAAGAAAAGCAGUCUCUUGAGUGCUUGGGGCAGGGGAGCAAUGGGAUCAUAUUUGAGUUUAGGCUCAGUCUGGUUUCCUUAAAACCAGGUGCUGGUGCCUGGACUGGGGUUGGGUGGCGGGAAGGAAGGGAAAGCAUAGACAGGAGAGGUAGACAUUAGAAUUAACAGUACUUGAUGACAGAUUUGGAAGAUGGGGGUUGUGGGAGAGGCGGUAGUUGGGGUCAGUUUGAAGGGGGACACAGGGCAGUAAUUAGAGGAAGAGGAGUUUGGUUUGGACAUGCUACAUUUUAGGUACCCAUGCACUUUGCAAAUUGAGUUCCUCAGAGGACGGGGCUGUAUUGCUGGGCUUGGUGAGUAGGUAGUCUGGAGUGAGGCAGGCAGCACAUCAGUAAUCAUUUAAGCCAUGGAAAUGGAUAUAAUUCUCAAGGAACAGUGUAUAGUUGACCCUUGAACAACGUGGAUUUGAACUGUGUGAGUCCAGUUACAUGCUCAUUUUUUGCAGUUGACAGCAAUUCAGUUGACCAACGCAUUUCAAGCACAUGUUGUUCAAGGGUCAACUCUGUGGUUGGGAAUAGGAGCACCUGGAGGGCUGGCUGUAAUCAUACAUGGAUUUUUGACACUGCAGAUGUUAGCCCACCUAACUGCUGUAUUGUUCAGGGUCAACUGUAAAUCAGAGAGAGGCAGUAUAGUGAUUAAGAACGUGAAUGAUAGAUUCAGGCUGCCUGGAUUCAAAUCCAGGGUCUGCCCUUAAGUAGCUCUGUGACCUUGGUUAAGCGGCUCAAGCUUUCUGUGCCUCUUCAUCAUAUGUAAAGUGGUAAUAAAACCUCAUAAAUUUAUUAUGAGGG